AAAUUACAUGGUUUUACUUAACUUCUUUGAUUCUUAAAAUUGAUCUCUUUUUUCAUAUUUUGGAAAUCUUAAUUCUUAAUAUAGUUGGUCCUCUGUAUUUGCAGCUUCCACAUCCUCAGAUACAACCAACAAAGAAUCAUAAAUAUUUGGAGAAAAGAUUGUAGCAUAUUGAACAAGUACAGAAUUUCCUCCAAUCAUUAUAACAACUAUUUAUAGUAUUUACAUUGUGUUAGGCAUUAUGAAUAGUCUAGAGAUGAUUUAAAGUAUAUGGGGGAAAGUGUGUAUGCAAAUAUUUUGGUAUCUUUGGGGUGGGAGUGAUGGUGUCCUGGAACCAGUUCUCCAGAUAAUGAUGGCCAGUGGCCAUGGGCACGAUUAUGUAUUUAUUUUAUGCUGAAAUAUAUGUAAAAUUCAGUUGUGAAGUUAAAAUAUUACAUUGUCACUAAUAAAACUACUUAGUGAUUUUUUUGAGAAAAAAAGGAAUAUAAUUUCAGCACUGUAUUUAAUCCUUCUGAAGUAUUAUGUCAGUGCAACCCAGAUUAACAGCUGGGUAUGGCGGGGGGACUAUAUUAAAAUAUCACAAGCUGACCCUGAUGUCAAACCUCCUCAAACAGAGUUCUAAAACCUUGUGUAACUGUAACUCAGAACGAUCACAAACAUCUAUUGCAUUAGGUCUGACUUUCCCUAUUUUAAAACAACGUAACUGGAGGAGAAGAGCGUGAUGCGAUGAUGCCUUGGCUGGUGCAGCUGGAACUGGUUUGGGCAUAGUACACUCAGUAGACCCUGCGGGUGUGGCCGGCAGACUGCCCACGACAACCCUGCCUCACCAAGAUGCUCUGGACUCUGGUAAAUGAUGC
rnacentral:lncRNA from 1 species